rnacentral:rRNA from 1 species
CUGGCGGCGUGCCUAACACAUGCAAGUCGAGCGAGGAGAUCCUUCGGGAUGAUCCUAGCGGCGGACGGGUGAGUAACACGUGGGCAACCUGCCUCAUAGAGAGGGAUAGCCUUCCGAAAGGGAGAUUAAUACCUCAUAACAUUGCAGUUUCGCAUGGAACAGCAAUUAAAGGAGUAAUCCGCUAUGAGAUGGGCCCGCGGCGCAUUAGCUAGUUGGUGAGGUAACGGCUCACCAAGGCGACGAUGCGUAGCCGACCUGAGAGGGUGAUCGGCCACAUUGGGACUGAGACACGGCCCAGACUCCUACGGGAGGCAGCAGUGGGGAAUAUUGCACAAUGGGGGAAACCCUGAUGCAGCCAACGCCGCGUGAGUGAUGACGGCCUUCGGGUUGUAAAGCUCUGUCUUCAGGGACGAUAAUGACGGUACCUGAGGAGGAAGCCACGGCUAACUACGUGCCAGCAGCAGC